rnacentral:rRNA from 1 species
GAUGAACGCUGACAGAAUGCUUAACACAUGCAAGUCAACUUGAAUUUGGGUUUUUAACUUAGGUUUGGGUGGCGGACGGGUGAGUAACGCGUAAAGAACUUGCCUCACAGCUAGGGACAACAUUUGGAAACGAAUGCUAAUACCUAAUAUUAUGAUAAUAGGGCAUCCUAUAAUUAUGAAAGCUAUAAGCGCUGUGAGAGAGCUUUGCGUCCCAUUAGCUAGUUGGAGAGGUAACGGCUCACCAAGGCGAUGAUGGGUAGCCGGCCUGAGAGGGUGAUCGGCCACAAGGGGACUGAGACACGGCCCUUACUCCUACGGGAGGCAGCAGUGGGGAAUAUUGGACAAUGGACCAAGAGUCUGAUCCAGCAAUUCUGUGCGCACGAUGAAGUUUUUCGGAAUGUAAAGUGCUUUCAGUUGGGAAGAAAGAAAUGACGGUACCAACAGAAGAAGUGACGGCUAAAUACGUGCCAGCAGCCGCGGUAAUACGUAUGUCACGAGCGUUAUCCGGAUUUAUUGGGCGUAAAGCGCGUCUAGGUGGUUAUGUAAGUCUGAUGUGAAAAUGCAGGGCUCAACUCUGUAUUGCGUUGGAAACUGUAUAACUAGAGUACUGGAGAGGUAAGCGGAACUACAAGUGUAGAGGUGAAAUUCGUAGAUAUUUGUAGGAAUGCCGAUGGGGAAGCCAGCUUACUGGACAGAUACUGACGCUGAAGCGCGAAAGCGUGGGUAGCAAACAGG